AACCAGGUGAAUGAAGUCUGACCUUGUUUUCCAGGAUUUUACCAUGGAAAAGAGCACACAUGUGGGAGUGAAAGCACCUUGCUGCAGUCCUGCCUCUGCCACUCAAUGUUGGGUCCAGGCAAGAAGCUCAACCUUCCAGAGCUUCAAAGUUUUCCAUUUACGGUGAUUUUAACCCAGGAGUAUUUUUCAGUAUCAUUUGUGGAGCUUUUUAAAAUGCACAACUCCAAGCCAGACCUGUGGAAUCAGAAUUUCCUGAGGAAUGCCUUUGCUCUUUGGAUGAUUAGAAGGUAUAGAUAAGCUGAAGUUAAUGAAUGAUGUUCACAUCAUUGCCCUAUGGGAUCAUAUGAGGAGGAUGUGAGCAUCCCCGCCGGUGCGGACUGGCUCUCAAUCACAGUUCCUUUAUCCCGGUGCCAGAAGGAGCAUCCCGAUUAUUUUCGAAACGAGAGAAAAAGGAAAUGAAAACUAACUUCCGGCCCUCUCGGGAUCCAGACCACAGCUCUGGACUCAGGCAGCAGCUCAUCAAAGCCAUGAAGUAACAAAACUGUGCUGCCCUCUGU
rnacentral:lncRNA from 1 species